CCCCUCCUCAUUCUUCAAAAUUCGUACAAUCUCCUGUAGUUCCCUCUUUAUGUACUCCUGGCCAGCAAAAUCAUCAAAGGUAACACCAGUAGUUUCUUCUGCUGAUAUAAACUUUGCCCGACUCUUGCCUAGUGACCCAAGUGCACGGCGUUUGAGUGGCUGCCUAAUAGUUUGACUAGGCUUUCCCAAAUCACAAGGUAUUAACUUUGCAUAAAUUGGUCUCAUCAUAUUAUCAAUCCAAACAUAUAAUGCAACAGAUAAAGCAAGCCGCAUAGACCAAAUUACUGCAGUUGCAACAGUAGAGUAGACUUCUGCAGGAACUGUAUCCACAUUAAUGACUUCGACAUUCACUAUUUGCUGAUGCAGCUUUUUCCAGACAUCAUUCCAACAAUCAAUUGGC
rnacentral:misc_RNA from 1 species